rnacentral:rRNA from 1 species
UGGGGAAUUCUGGACAAUGGGCGCAAGCCUGAUCCAGCGAUGCCGCGUGCAGGAUGAAGGCCUUCGGGUUGUAAACUGCUUUUGUACGGAACGAAACGGUCUUUUCUAAUACAGAAGGCUAAUGACGGUACCGUAAGAAUAAGCACCGGCUAACUACGUGCCAGCAGCCGCGGUAAUACGUAGGGUGCGAGCGUUAAUCGGAAUUACUGGGCGUAAAGCGUGCGCAGGCGGUGAUGUAAGACAGAUGUGAAAUCCCCGGGCUCAACCUGGGACCUGCAUUUGUGACUGCAUCGCUGGAGUGCGGCAGAGGGGGAUGGAAUUCCGCGUGUAGCAGUGAAAUGCGUAGAUAUGCGGAGGAACACCGAUGGCGAAGGCAAUCCCCUGGGCCUGCACUGACGCUCAUGCACGAAAGCGUGGGGAGCAAACA